GUCUCAGGGAUUAGUUCCACCUUUAUAAUUCUGGGAAGACCUAGCUGUUUGAUUCCAAAUGGAGAAAUAGAAAAUUCUAGGAUGAGCUCACCUAUAAGAACAGCAGUGAUUAAUUGCCUGCCUCGUUCUGGUUCAUUUCCAGCACUGUUAUUUAUGUUGUUCCUCUUAAUUUUUUCCUGCUGUUUCAGCUUUACGAGGGAUAUCCAAUUACUUCCUCUGUGACAUUUUUUUUUUUUUUAAACUUUUGAGUGCCAGAAAUCUCACCUCAGAAGGGGUUUCUUUUUCUGGUAAAAAUCUCUUGAAUCGGUCCCUUUCUUUCUGUGAGGGCUGCUCCUGCCCAGGUCCAGGGCCUCUGCAUCUCAGGUCUGGAUUCUUACAGGUGUCAUCCCUAAAAGGAGCCUUCCUGCUUCCCAGGUGGCCCAUUCGCUAUAUUGUGCCAGCCAGAAUCUGGGGCUCAUCCCUGGCUCACUCUUUCCCCUCACCCCAUUCCAAUUAGUUACCACUAAAACCUCACUAUUCUACUUCCUUGAUAUCUCUCAGACCGACCCUUUUCUCUCCACCCUCACCUCUGUCACAUUGCUCAGCAGAACUACUGAUAUCCAAAUGGGGUUCCUGCAUUAUACACACCUUUCCAGCCGGCAUGCACUGUCCCUAGAAUGUGCUUGCUUAUGGGCAGCUCACCUGUAUCAAAGCUUGUAAUAAAGGGCCCUACAAAUCCAGAACAGAGUCUCAAGUCUUCAGUGGGGCGUAUGAGGCCUCUUAGAGCAGCUCCUACUUGCCUCUCAAAGUCCUGUCCCUCCCACUCAUGCUCUUUUGGGUUCUCCAUAAAGCACGUGCAGCUCCUAGAACAGGCAACACUUUUCUUUCUCACCUCUGGCUCUUCCUUCUACCUGGAACACCUUUAUCUUUGAUCCUCACCUUCACUCCAUUCCUCGUUCAGGACUCAACUCACUGGACUUUUCUGGAACGGAGGAGUCACUCCACCUUCUAUGUCCCUCACAUGGUCUGUUCUCCGUCCCAUUUCUGCCAUGCCACACUGCAAGUCCCAUGGGACAGAGGAGGGAUUUGCUCACUGCUGUAUCCACAUAGAAGCCUCUCAAAGUUCAUCAGAUGACUUGUUGAAUGAAUGGAUAUUUAAAUUCAUGCAUAUAAAUGUGAAUGAUUGAAUGAGUGGAGACGUUCGCAUAGCAUCAUGACAGAACCUUGUCUCUGCAUUCGCGUAAGCUGCGCCUGCUGCUUGGACCAAUAGGAAAUCUACUCUGAUGCCAGAGUCAACCCAUAGCAGGAUAAUUCAGGAAAAUUGAAUUAAAAUUUUAAAAGUAAUGUUUUUUAGAUUUUCCUUCCUGGAAUGCAUUAGAAAGUGAGACCGGAGACCAACACCGUCCUGGGAUGGCUUAGCAUCACCCAGGAGGUUGGGGGGAGAGCCUGGAAAUGACUAGAUUUCCCUCAAGCUCUUUGAAUCUGGUCUCAGGUUUUUGCUGGGAGCCCUUCCCACUACCCGACCAAGAAGCGAUUUACUGAACAAUGACCUCAUUUUACAUUUCACAAUAUGUGUGUCAUAUAAGCAGUCUGUGCUGCUGAACGGUUUCCUGUAAACAUUUACAAUGGUUUGAGGCACUGGGGCCAGUCCCCAGUAGUUCUGGGAAAGACUUUUUAGAAAACAAGAAGGAACCUCUGCCCCAACUGUACAUUGGACACUGCAGAGUAAUUAUACAGUAGAGGUCAGGCCCAGGGCGAUAAUUAGCCUUGGGGGUGCCAGAGGGCCUCCUCGCUUUUGCUCUCCCAGCAAUUUUCUGGGAGGAGACAGAGCUGAGUUUCAGCAGGAUGGAGGCCGCUGGGUGUGAAAUGCCCUCCGCUUCACACCGGGGGCCCAUGUGCCACAUGGACUAGACCUUGCUCCCAAAGCGUGGUCUCAGGAUCUACAGCAUCAGCAUCACCUGGGAGCUUACUGGAAAUGUAGGAUCUCAGAAACCACUCGGAGCUACCAGUCAGAAUCUGCGUGUUAACAUCCUGGCGACUCAAAAGCACGUUACAUUUUAGGAAGUCAUGAACUAGAACUAAGGUGUCAGGACCUCACUUGAGAGGCAGCAGGGAAGCACCUGUGAGGCUGGCUCAGCCACUCAGUAAAACUCAGAACUAUAAACAUCCUGCCACUUCCAGGCAGACACGGCUCCCGGCAGCUGUUGUCCAAAUACAACAUGAGCCAGAUGACAUUCCAGAUCCCUAAUCCAGCUUUCAUCAGACCUAAUUCCCUACCACCUCUCAUGAGAGGGACCAGAGAGACGUGGAUGACAUUAGGAUUGCAUAACUACACUUCUCAUGAAGUUUCCUCCACCUUAAGGUCAGAUGCAAUGUCAUAG